CGAACGCUGGCGGCGUGCCUAAUACAUGCAAGUCGAGCGGACGAAUCGAAAGCUUGCUUUUGAUUCGUUAGCGGCGGACGGGUGAGUAACACGUGGGCAACCUGCCCUGUAGACGGGGAUAACACCGAGAAAUCGGUGCUAAUACCGGAUAACACGAAAUGUCGCAUGACGUUUCGUUGAAAGACGGCGCAAGCUGUCGCUACAGGAUGGGCCCGCGGCGCAUUAGCUAGUUGGUGAGGUAACGGCUCACCAAGGCGACGAUGCGUAGCCGACCUGAGAGGGUGAUCGGCCACACUGGGACUGAGACACGGCCCAGACUCCUACGGGAGGCAGCAGUAGGGAAUCUUCCGCAAUGGACGAAAGUCUGACGGAGCAACGCCGCGUGAGCGAAGAAGGCCUUCGGGUCGUAAAGCUCUGUUGUUAGGGAAGAACAAGUAACGCAGUAACUGGCGUUACCGUGACGGGACCUAACGAGAAAGCCACGGCUAACUACGU
rnacentral:rRNA from 1 species